AGGUGUGCGUGUGAUCGAGCAGGAGAAAAGGGGAAGGGGUGUAAACCCUAACCCACAUGAAAUCAUCAAAUUGGAAAAGGAUUUGAGGGUUAAUUGGAUGCAUGAACCAAGAUUUAUGAUCACUCAAGCGUUCUUGACACCAAGAUAGGAAUCCCAAAUUGACAUGGACUCAAGUAUGGAAAGCUAACGGGUCAAGCGGAGGUGAGGAAGCAAGCAUGAACACUAACGCUUAAGGUACUACACGGACUUCUUCUGCUGCUAAGGAAGUGAAGCGGA